CUCUGGGUGGUGCAAUGGUUAAUGCGUUUGGCUGCUAACCAAAAGGUUGAAGGUUUGAGUUUACCCAGAGG
rnacentral:tRNA from 1 species